GGAGCUGCGAGCGCGGCUGUGGGCGGGGGACACCGGGAACCGGACACCGGGCACCGGACACCGGACACCAUCACCCGCAGGGAAAACAGUGACCAGGGAGCCCAGGCUCAGAGGUUGGAUGCUUUAUUCACUGUCUCUGCUUGCUUAUCAACACCUGGCUGCCAGAACUGAAAUAAUUACCACACUGAAAUAAUCCCUCAAACAGCAUCAGCCCCAAAUGCACCUCCCCGGGCUCACCCCAGCAGUGCAUUUUUCCUGUCUUUAAAUAUGGAAUAAUAAAAGAUAAACUCCA